GGCUUGAGCACCACCAGUUCUUUCCCAAAUCUUGCAAAACCUAACCCUCAACCCCAACCACGCCACCGUCGCCACCAACCACUCGACCGCAGCGCCGGCUUCCUCCCCAAACACAGUCGCCGCCGUCCGCCUAGUCAUCGCCGAGCACCCUUCACCGCCUCGUCCCCAUCCCCCACGCACCCAGCGCCCACAUCCUCCCGAGGAAUGCCGCCGACCGCCCUCCAUCCCCACCACAACAGCGACCUCCUCCACAGGUUUCCUCCCUCGAGCAGGCCUCCUCCUCCUUUAGCUUUCUCCCCCGAGCAGGGCCUCCUCCUCCACGAGCAUCCUUACCCGAGCACUAAGUUGGGCUGCCUCCUGGUUCCCUCAUCCGAGCAGCGGACCUUCCUAUACGGCCCCUCUCCCAAGAAGCUCCACCUCCUCUACAUCCUCCCCCAGGUGCAACGCCACCUCCUUGCUCACCGAGAGCACUUGGCUAGUGAGAUUUCAAUCUUUGCAAACUUUGUUCCUUUUUUCUUCUGAGCACUAACUAGAACAACUUCAGAAAGUGUUUGAGUUUGUAUGUCACUAUGUUCUGAAGAUAACGACCAGCUUUGUCAUCCGAUAGCCCAAGUUUUUCUUAUGGUGAAGUGAUCUUCCAUUGCAGCAAAUGGAUGCUCCAACUACGUAAUAAAUCAGUGAAACCCGCUGAGAAUGACUUAUAAGUUCAUGGCAAAAGCAGCAACAUCAGUACGUAACCACAAGCAAGCUAAGGGGGUAAUAAUCUUGGUAUUUAAGUCUUAGAUUCAGUAUUUUGCUUUUUGGAUACAUGAACAUUGAAACUUAUUUAGCAUUUCGUUUCUUAUAUGCUUCAUGCAAAUAAAACUGCAGUAAAAUAUGAGCCGAGAUUUUGCUUGGCAUGUGUAUGUAUGCAUGCCCUGAAUUUGCUUAGUAUUUUUAUGCAUACAACUAUUGGAAGCUUUUACAUGUCCUGGAACUGAGCUUUUGCAUGCCCUGUGUUUUCUGAAGCUGAGUCUUUUGUUAUUGGCUAGUACUUGAAACGGAGUCGCAGGCCUCCUACCAUAUAACCAUUUAUGAAGUGCAUAUGUGAUGCCUUAUCUUGUAUUCCUACAAAGAGUCCAGUAUAUUUUUCAUGUGUAAAAAGUGGCUGACCUGGCAUUACACUGUUAAGUAUUUUGUACACAUCAGGAAUCUUGUUGUAGAUACACACUGAGCUGAAAAUGUUGCUAGCAGAAAUAGGUUUUCUGUUAGCUACGCAUCUGGUUUAAAACAUGGUAUGACUACUUGCUUUGGAAUAGUAACACCUUGAUAUUAUCUGAUCCUAUCUCAUGCAUAUUUUAGUUAUUUCUAGACAAAGCUUUAGGAACCGAGUUCACUACAACUCGAAGUCUUGUGCAUGGAGGAGAAUUGAGAUAUUUGCGCAUUCUGUACUAGUCAAAAGGUUGGCAUCAUGGUUGGAAGAUCUUGUGUGCUACUCUCUACACGAUAUUUCUUCUACAUGAUAGCACUUGACGUCUACAUGAUAGCACUUGAAGUCUACAUGAUGUUUCUUGUAUUCAUAGCUCAAACCAUUUGUUUAGCUUAGUUUGAACAAAAAAUAUUAUUGUCUUACAUGUAAAUAAUGUUUACUAAUGUAGCUGGAUGCUACUGAACGCAUGUACGAAAGUCAAAAUACUAAGUGUUAGUCAUUAUGUGUUUGAGAACUGCCAUUGAAUCUUGAGUGAAUUCCUGUAUGAAUAGAAAUCAAAAGAAAUAUAAAUGCUA